rnacentral:ncRNA from 13 species
GCCUGAAGGCGGCGAUGAUCUGCGCAGAGGAAACUGGUCGCUAAACCUCGUAGGGAGGAACGAUGCGCAGGGAGCCAGAGCGAAACCGGCCUGAUCAGGC